UUGGAGGGCAAGUCUGGUGCCAGCAGCCGCGGUAAUUCCAGCUCCAAUAGCGUAUAUUAAAGUUGUUGCAGUUAAAAAGCUCGUAGUUGAAUUUCGGGAUCAAUGUUUCAGUCAUGCCGUUGGUAUGUACUGAUAUUAUUGAUUUCUCACCUUCUAAAGAACCGUAAUGCCAUUAAUUUGGUGUCACGGGGAAUUAGGACUGUUACCUUGAAAAAAUUAGAGUGUUUAAAGCAGGCUUACGCUUGAAUACAUUAGCAUGGAAUAAUGAAAUAGGACAUCCGAUUCUAUUUUGUUGGUUUCUAGGAUUGAUGUAAUGAUUAAUAGGGAUAGUUGGGGGCAUUAGUAUUCAAUUGUCAGAGGUGAAAUUCUUGGAUUUAUUGAAGACUAACUACUGCGAAAGCAUUUGCCAAGGAUGUUUUCAUUAAUCAAGAACGAAAGUUAGGGGAUCGAAGACGAUCAGAUACCGUCGUGGUCUUAACCAUAAACUAUGCCGACUAGGGAUCGGAUGAUGUUAAUUUUUUAAUGACUCAUUCGGCGCCUUACGGGAAACCAAAG
rnacentral:rRNA from 1 species